UGAACGGUGGAUUAACUGCUCCUGGAGCCUUGAACGGUGGAUAAACUGCUCCUGGAGCCUUGAACGGUGGAUAAACUGCUCCUGGAGCUGUUAGACAAAUGCAAACAGAGGAAGGAAGCGGAAGUCUCUGGCUGUGUCCUGAGAGGCAGAUUCACAUGGUGUUUUGCUGAGAAAAUGCAAGAAUUCUGACUUUUGCCUGAAUGGAAAUUCCUAAAGAAGAAAGGGAAGGCCUCCCACGGCAGCUGCUCCGGCCCCUAUGCCUGCUGUGGCUGAUGAAAUCAGGGGCUGGUCCCACAUUGUAUGCCCCUCCGUUCAAUCAGUCUAUGUCCACUUGAUUACAUUUCCACACUUUCUGACUUUUACUUAUUUUGGAAUGGUAACCAGCAGAACACUUAAAAGACACUCACAUCC